rnacentral:tRNA from 1 species
AGGUCAGUGCAUCGGCAAUAUCGGACUCAUAAUCCGUCGGUCGCGGGUUCAAGCCCCGCCUGGGCUA